AUCAGAUGACCUGUGCGGGCGGCAGCCUCCUGCCCUCCUCCCCUUCGUGCGCCGGCUGGAGCGAAGAGUUCUUUUGACAGCCGUGAGCUUCCCCGCCAGGAACUUACUGGGGCUGCAUCACCCUAGAAACGUGGCUUUGGGCUGUGGAAACGCUGCCUCUGUGGAAGUCUCUCCUCGCGGGGGUGGACGGGUCGCUGCGCGCCCAGCGUUCUUCUGCGGUUCUCACAGCCCGCCGCCGCCGCCGCCUCGGGGACCUUUGCGGGGAGGCCUCAGGGCACCUUCCUCCUCUCUCUCAGGCACGUCCUCGACCUCAGUUGCCACGUGCACAUGCUGGUGCCUUCCAGGUCGGUCUUUCUCCACCAGACUCCACCUGGAACUUUCUUCCUUUUCGUCCUGUGCUGGCCUAACCCCUGCUCGGCCUCGGCCCUCAGCUGCCGGCUCUAACAAAGCCUCUGUCUUUCCCAGACCCCUGUGACCAGGCUGGAGUAUAGUGGCAUGAUCAUAGAUCACUGCAGCCUCAAACUCCUGGGCUCAAGCGAUCCUCCCACCUCAGCCUCCAUAUAGCUGGUGGGGACCAAGUUUCUAACACAUGAAUGUUGGGAGACACAUUCAGACCAUCGCAGUGGCCUUAUAAAAAGAGACACAAGAGCUUGCUCUCUGCCAUGUGAGAAUACCACAAGAAGACUGUCCUCAGCAAAUCAGAAAGCGGGUGGACCCUCAUCAGACACCAGAUGUGCCUGCACCUUGAUCUUGGACUUGCCAGCCUUCAGAACAGUAAGAAAGAAAUGUGUGUUGUUUAAGCCACCCAGUCUAUGGUAACUUGCUAUAGCAGCCCACUAGGAGACCCCAAGAUAUUUAAAAACUCAUCAGCACCUGCUUUCUGCAUCUGGACCCUGAUCUUCUGGUGGGUUUACCAGUUACUUGUAGAGUGUCCCUGUGAUAGUUUUAGGUGUCAACUUGACAGGAUUGAGGGAUGCCUAGAUGGCUGGGGAAGCACUGUUUCUGAGAAGGACCAUGUUUUUGGAGGAGACUGUUUUAUGAGUGAAUUUCAGGGGACACAUUCAGAUCAUGGCAGUGGCAUUAUAAAGAGAGACACAAAAGCUUGCUCUCUCUCUCUGCCAUGUAAGACUACCACACAAAGACUGCCAUCUGCAAACCAGAAGCAGGUGGGCUUUCCUCAGACACCAGAUCUGCCUGCACCUUGAUCUUGGACUUGCCAGCCUUCAGAACUCUAAGAAAGAAAUGGUAGCAUGGCUUGGUCUAAGUUGGAAGGCCUGAGAAACAAGCACAUGGUGGAACUGAGUUCAAGGAUAAAGACUUGAGAAUACCUGCUCAGUGGACUGAGUAGGGAAGAUCAACCCUCAAUGUAGGCAGGCACUAUCCAAUCACCUGAGGGCCCAGAUGGAACAAAAAGGUGGAAGAAGGGUGAAUUCUCUCUUCCAGAGCUGUGACACCCUUCUCAUGCCCUUGUACCACACAACUCUAGGUCCUUUGGCCUUUGGACUCUGACACUUGCACCAGUGGCCCUCUGGGGCUCUCAAGCCUUUAGCCUUGAACUUAGUUACACCAUGUGCCUCCUUGUUUCUCAGGCCUUCCAACUUGGAUCAGGCCAUGCCACCGGCUUCUCUGAUUCUCCAGCUUGCAGAUGGUAUAUUGUGACCCUGGCAUUUAAUAACUAUGACUUUGGUCUUAAGCAAUUUUCUUCCUCUGUGGAUUGAUAUUUACAUAUCAAUGUGGAUAAUAAUUUCUUACCACGGUAACUGUUGUGAGGUAAAAAUGAGUUAACAUAAGUAAAACCGAGCACAUGCAAACCAUCCGAAAUGGUUAAUACUUACUAUUUGUACUUGAAGAAAUAAAUGUUUUUGACAAUAAACUUCUUGUGCAGUUUUCCUCA